GUGCCCAUUAUAGCAAAACAUACACUACAAUUGGAAUGAUACACAGAGUAUUAGCAUGGUCCCUUACCAUGACAUGCAAAUUCAUGAAGCAUUCCAUAUAAAU
rnacentral:snRNA from 1 species